UCUUCUUUUGUCUAAUGAAAGUAUCCAACAAAAGUAUAAUUGCUCAUGUCCAGAACAAAUCUAUCUUUCAAGAAAUUUGAUCUCUAAGCUCUUCUUGUUUUCAUUGUCUCUUUUAAUCUAUACGCAACGCUCUGACACUAUUUUACCCAACCACUCUCAUGUAUACAUCUAUCUUUCAGCUCUUCCUGUUUUCUUGUUUCUGAGUCAUCUAAGAGAAAUUCCAGAAAAGAAAGUGGAGAUAGCAUAAAUGAUAUACAAAAUUUAGACGAUAUAAAAUCACGACGAUAAACGAGAGGCAAUGGUCAAGGAGGCUUUAUGAGAAUGGAAACGAACAAAGGUUUUCGUGUGGUACACUUGUACAUCAAUUGGAAAAACCACUACUUUCUUCUUUAUGUUCUAAUCAUGAAGAAAACUGUGGUUGAAGAGAUAAGUUGAAAAGAGUAAAGGUACAAGAUCAUCUAUAUUUUCAUAUAAAUUUUUGUUAGAAAAUAACUUUUAUUCAAGGAACUAGUGAACAUUGAUAUAUUUGUGAAAUUGAUGACUAACUUGUCUAGU